rnacentral:rRNA from 1 species
GACGAACGCUGGCGGCGUGCUUAACACAUGCAAGUCGAACGGAAAGGCCCUGCUUUUGUGGGGUGCUCGAGUGGCGAACGGGUGAGUAACACGUGAGUAACCUGCCCUUGACUUUGGGAUAACUUCAGGAAACUGGGGCUAAUACCGGAUAGGAGCUCCUGCUGCAUGGUGGGGGUUGGAAAGUUUCGGCGGUUGGGGAUGGACUCGCGGCUUAUCAGCUUGUUGGUGGGGUAGUGGCUUACCAAGGCUUUGACGGGUAGCCGGCCUGAGAGGGUGGCCGGCCACAUUGGGACUGAGAUACGGCCCAGACUCCUACGGGAGGCAGCAGUGGGGAAUAUUGCACAAUGGGCGGAAGCCUGAUGCAGCAACGCCGCGUGCGGGAUGACGGCCUUCGGGUUGUAAACCGCUUUCGCCUGUGACGAAGCGGGAGUGACGGUAAUGGGUAAAGAAGCACCGGCUAACUACGUG